rnacentral:rRNA from 1 species
GGCGCAAGCCUGAUCCAGCAAUGCCGCGUGGGUGAAGAAGGUCUUCGGAUCGUAAAGCCCUUUCGGCGGGGACGAUGAUGACGGUACCCGCAGAAGAAGCCCCGGCUAACUUCGUGCCAGCAGCCGCGGUAAUACGAAGGGGGCUAGCGUUACUCGGAAUUACUGGGCGUAAAGGGCGCGUAGGCGGCGUUCCAAGUCAGGCGUGAAAGCCCUGGGCUCAACCUGGGGACUGCGCUUGAUACUGGAGUGCUUGAGGAUGGAAGAGGGUUGUGGAAUUCCCAGUGUAGAGGUGAAAUUCGUAGAUAUUGGGAAGAACACCGGUGGCGAAGGCGGCAACCUGGUCCAUUUCUGACGCUGAGGCGCGAUAGCGUGGGGAGCAAACAGGAUUAGAUACCCUGGUAGUCCACGCCGUAAACGAUGUGCGCUGGAUGUUGGGUGACCUAGUCACUCAGUGUCGUAGCUAACGCGGUAAGCGCACCGCCUGG